ensembl:lncRNA
UUCUUACUGAGUGCAGAUGUGCUGACUAUCGCAAGCAUUGACAGACUGCUCUCAGCCCUAGUAGUAAGGAAAAUAAAGGUCUCAGCACUUAGCCCAUGAUGACCGUUUUGCAGAAAUAGAACGCCAAGCAAGAAGAACGAAGCCUGCAGGAGUACAAGGAGGAAAUGAAAGUUGCCGUACCGACAGGGCUACACAAAUCCCGCGAUGGGUGGAUUAGGCUGAGCGUUAUCAGUGAUGAUGAAACACAGCAGACUGUGCACCUUUUGCGAUAUGAGGCAUCGCAGGGGCAGGAACAAAGCGGGAGCCAGGUGAGACUGCUGGAGAGACAAAGGGUUCCCUCUGUGCCACAGGACUCCUCGCACUGAAGUGGAUAUUGCCAUUUGCUGUGAGUGCCUGGUCAUUACCAUUCCUUGUCCUUUAUUACGUGGAGGGGUCUCGUAGGGCUCUCAUGAACUUCCUCAGAAGUGUGUCCCAGCUUCCCUACGGCACUGCUUGAAUGGAGCGUGACAGCACUUGUCAGCAGAGCAGUUGUGGAG